rnacentral:piRNA from 1 species
AUAUUAGUAGAAGUGUUUGGAGA